AAUCAUUGAGCUGUCUUGUCUUUAACCAG
rnacentral:piRNA from 1 species